rnacentral:lncRNA from 1 species
GGGGAGUAAACUCCAUUUUAAGGUCCUAAAGUGUUCCAAUGUCCUUCAAAGCUUUAGAACUCGAACUAGAACCCACCAUUGCAUGUUUAGGACACCAAAAUCAAUUAGAAACAAUGAUGAAAGUGAGUUCACGGCCAAGGAGCUUCUUGGGCCGUGAACUCCAUGUUUAGGUGCCAAAAUGCCGUGAACUCCAUGUUUAGGUCCCAGGGCCGUAAACCCCUAUAAAGGGGGAAAAUGUCACCCAAAC